UUAAAAUAAUGGGUAGACCCUUGGCUACAAGUGUGUGCAAUUUUUUUUGGAUCGGGUCACCCCUUUGGACGCAAUACCCCGAAAUAGGUGGGCCACUUACUAAACAGUACCCGGAAAAAUUUUUGCAUCAACUUUU